GGGGAUGUUUUGGGAUUCGACAGGCGUAGAUUUGCAUUGAUUGCAGUUCGUAGGUUACGUCUACGUAAAAACGUUACAGUUUAAAUAUAACUGCAAAUAAUCAAAAUUCUUACGCAUUAGCUGCUUAAUAACCAGCCUGCGUGAUCUUUGUGAUGGUUGUACUCGUGGUUAUCCAAAGGUUUUAUAUUUAACGAGUUGCAUUUAACUGAUUACCUAGGUAGUUAGACUAAGAUUUUAGGUUAGCAAUAGCUAUUUGCCCGUUAUAUGGCGUUUUGCUGUUGUGAAAUCAAAUAAUAUAACUAUGAUUGUAGAUAUCAGUGACAAAAUGCGUUUGGACAGGGGUUCAAAUCCCUCAUCUCCACAG
rnacentral:tmRNA from 1 species